rnacentral:tRNA from 1 species
GGGGUUGUGGCUCAGUGUUAGAGCGCUUGCCUUGCACACGUGAGGCACUGAGUUCAAUCCUCAGCACCACA